UACGUAGGGUGCAAGCGUUAAUCGGAAUUACUGGGCGUAAAGCGUGCGCAGGCGGUUCUAUAAGACAGAUGUGAAAUCCCCGGGCUCAACCUGGGAACUGCAUUUGUGACUGUAGAGCUGGAGUACGGCAGAGGGGGAUGGAAUUCCGCGUGUAGCAGUGAAAUGCGUAGAUAUGCGGAGGAACACCGAUGGCGAAGGCAAUCCCCUGGGCCUGUACUGACGCUCAUGCACGAAAGCGUGGGGAGCAAACGGG
rnacentral:rRNA from 1 species